AUUGAACGCUGGCGGAAUGCUUUACACAUGCAAGUCGAACGGUAGAGGGGGCAACCCCUCGAGAGUGGCGAACGGGUGAGUAAUAUAUCGGAACGUGCCAGUCGUGGGGGAUAACGUAGCGAAAGUUACGCUAAUACCGCAUACGAUCUAAGGAUGAAAGCGGGGGAUCGCAAGACCUCGCGCGAUUGGAGCGGCCGAUAUCAGAUUAGGUAGUUGGUGGGGUAAAGGCUCACCAAGCCAACGAUCUGUAGCUGGUCUGAGAGGACGACCAGCCACACUGGAACUGAGACACGGCCCAGACUCCUACGGGAGGCAGCAGUGGGGAAUUUUGGACAAUGGACGCAAGUCUGAUCCAGCCAUUCCGCGUGCAGGAUGAAGGCCCUCGGGUUGUAAACUGCUUUUGUACGGAACGAAAAGGUCUCUCUUAAUACGGGGGACUCAUGACGGUACCGUAAGAAUAAGCACCGGCUAACUACGUGCCAGCCGCCGCAGUAAAAC
rnacentral:rRNA from 1 species